GGCGUCCGGCGGGCGGCGGUUCUCCUCUCUCCGAUCCUUUCUGCCGCCGGAGCCCCGCGAACUUCCCCGCUGUCCCAGAGAGUGAGACUGCUUCUCCGGUCCGGGGCUGCUCCUCCCUUUCAGAAGUGUCUGCAGUUCCGUGACAGUCUUGGCUGAAUGGUGUCUAGUUAGACUUUUAACCCUUGGAAAUGGAUCCCCCUGCCCGCAUUAGUUCAGAGGGCAAGUUUUAUCGCCCUAUGAAAGGAAGGCCAUAUUUUUAUUUUACUAUGCAAAUAGAAAGUUUUUAUUGUCCAGUGAACAUUUCUUCCUCCACAGCUACAGCCAGGAGGGAGAGCUGUACACUUUCCAGUAACGAGGCUUGUAAAUCCUGUGGAAUCGGAGCCCAGCAUGUGUAACCUGAGGCUGUGCCUUACAAGGUCUUACUCCAGUCCACAUGGAAAAUUACUCGCGAAGAUGUACCCAGAGCCAUCUCUGGCUCCUUGGCCCUUCCCUUGCUGCUUCCAGUUUUGACUGAACAAAUCCUUUUUUUUUUUUUUUUUUUUAAAUAUUCUCACAUCUUAGAUAGCCCGUGGUUUAAUCUGUUAAAAUAAGCAGGCUCAAAAGCUCAAAUUAAGCCAGAAGUUUAACAAUUUUGCCUCCAACAUUCCAUAUUGUGAAUUAUUUUAUGGAAGAAGUGAGAAUCAACCUUAGUAGCAUUCUGCCAUCCUUCAUCUAAAUCUUCCUGAAAUAACAACGAAAAACAAAAGUGUUUGGGCAAAUACUCAUCCAACUCGGAACCUUUGAAAUUAAAAUUAUUAAAAAGCGAUUUCCAUUAUGAUCACAUUUGUCUAAAAUUAGCAUGAUGAUAAGCACUGCAUAAUAAGAUUUUUUAAAAGGGAGAAAAAUGUCGUCUGGGGUAUGACAUUUUAGAAAAAUCAUUUCUUGUGCCCAGAUCUAAGCCAGUUAUUACUGUGUUUUGAAGAUUUGGUCUCGAUUUUUUUUUUAAAGAAAAGGAGAAUUGGAGAAAAUUCAGAGAAGACGAGAAAUAUUAAAGAAGUGGGAAGUAUGACCUGUGAGAAGAUUAAAACAAGGUCUAUUUAGUCUGAAGAAGAAAAGGUUAAGAAUUGGAUUCUUGAAUAACGUCUUUCAGUGGUGGCAAGUGCAGUUCCGUAAAAUGGCAAAAAGCAAACAGCAUCAAUCUUCAAAGUUAUACUAGUCUGAUAGGCCUAGUUAUUCUUGUGGCAGAAUUCCAAACCUGCCUCUGACAAACUCCUUGAACUUGAUUCCUUGCUUCUCCAGUAUCUUCAAGAAUCUGCAUGAAUUUCUAGUCUCCAGUCCCCUAUCUUUCCCCCAUGCACAUGUAGGGCUCUCCAUAUCGCAAGUGUGUAGGAGUAAACUGCGCAGUCCACCAAUAAUUGCAGGUUACUAUGAUAGUCCUUCUUUUCUUUUGAGUCAUGAGAUUAGGACUCUAUAAAGUGAGUGUUUCUUUGGGAUUUUCAAAAUACCCAGACACUUCAAUUGCAGUCUGAAAGUGCCCUCAUUCUGAAACCAAAUCUUUCUUGCCUUCUUAGUUUCCAGACAUCUGCUGAACAUUUCCCCUUAGAUGUUCCACUGGCUGAAAUGCAUCAUGUCUUUAACUCAUCAAAUCUAAUUCCCACUCCCAGCUUUUCAUCUGUGUUAGUGACACUACUCCUUUCUAAUUUGUAUGGCUUUGGGCUUUUAUUUUUUUAAUUUUGUUUUUUACUUUUCUUCUUCCCUCAUACCUGCCAACUCACAGAAUUGGCUUCCAAAUCUUGUCCUCUUUUUUUUUUCCCUUCACUUUUCAUCUCCACAUGUCCUUUUUCACUCUCACUGUUAGCUCACAAGUAACACACACCUGAAUAUAUCCUAAUGGUGCUAUUUGAGCAGGUCUCUAACUGGCCACCUUCUAUAUAGACUUUCCCUGCCCCAACACAAUACUGCCGUACACUACCACUAAAAUCAUGAUGCUCAGAUAGCAUUUUGAUUUCUUCAACCGCAAACUUCAAAGAUUUUAUAAAGGGUUUGAAAAUAAUCGAAAUUACUUCACCUAGAUUCAAAAUUUUUUGCUAUCAAACUAAACUAACUCUAUAUGCUAUACCCAACCAAUAUAGUUUACUGUAUCAUCUCUCAAAGCAGAUCAAAUACUUUGACAUUUUUUAUUCUCUAGAGUUUGUAAAGGAAUCCUUGUCUUCAUUUGGGUUCCUCCAAAGGCCAUCUCUAAACCAGCAUUCAGUGAGCAGCAGUUUGUGAGGUAUUUCACUGAAACAAGGUAGGUGAAUGUAAAGUGAUAUAGGAAAGGGAAGACAUCCAGUAGUAGGUGCAUUUAUAUAUCUAACAUAGUGGGUGAGGAGUGUAGUCCACAAAAUUGAUGUACAUUUGCCUAUCAUAAAUAUGCUGGCCAAGAGAGAACUAAGGUAAAUAUAUCCCCAACAUCCAUCAGUCUCUGAAUUGAGGGCUGAGGGACACUAGUUAAUUCCUGGGCAUUCCCAUUCUCAUGUGCUCAAAAAGAUAUGGCCACCAUCCAAUAAUAAUGUAAACCUGAUGCCAAGAAGUCAUGUUGGCAUGCUUAGAAAUGUUAAAGAGAUGUGAGGAGAAAUAAGAGAAUUAUCAAUCACAUCAGCUAAGUCACCAUGCCUUUGUUCAUGUUAUUCCCCUACAUUCCUCCCUUUCUAAUUUCUAUUGUAUAGGUGCCAUACGCUCUGCAACAGCCUAUUGAAGUACCUUGUUAACCUCAGUCAGGCAUGCUUAUAUGGAAUCCUGCCUCAGUUAUAUUAUUUAUGAAAUCCUUAGACCUACCAAAUGAUGUCAGAUGUAAAACUAAAGUCAGCCAAGUUCAAAUAAGAAGAGAAGGCCAGGAUGACAGAGGCAGCCAGAGAAUGUGAAUCGAACUCAGGACCUUGCACCUGUGAGGCAGGUGGUUGAAACCAUUGAGCUAAAUCCCUGACCCUGGAAUUUACAUUUUGAUAGGCUCCUUUUAGUGCUGUACCUGCACUAUAGGUUAUGGAGUGAUCCUCUCCCAACAGAGGUUAUGGAGUGAUCUCGUCUGCAGAGGAGAAGGACAAAAAGGCAGAGGAAUCCCUCAUUUCAAAAGAGAUUAAGGAGUUGUGAAAACAGUAUCAAAUUUUGUAGAAAAGCCGCACUAUCAGAGAACAGUAUGUUGAAUGAGCAGAUUUGCACCAGGGAAAGGAAAAUGGCAUGCGCAUUGAAGGCAUUGGGUUUAGGAAUUUAAAGUGUUGUACCAGUCUUUGGAAGUCUCUUAUCAGGGCUUCCAGAGCACGACUGACAAUGUGAUAGGGUGCUGAGUCAUGUCAACUUGUAUUUACUGUGUGUGUCCUAUCCCAUAAUUCACUCUGUUAUAAUUGGAUGUGUGAAAUACGGUCCUUCAAUAUGCAUGAAUCUUCAAGGCAUUCCAGGUGAAGAAAGGUUUCUGUAGGCCAUGCAGGAGGAUUUGGCAGAAAUGUGUCCUGGUUAGGGAUUUGGGGAUUUUUUUAGGGCAGCCUCCGGGGUCUUUGUUUUUCUCAUCCCUGCCUCCAGAGAAUGGGCCUCAGGACAAAGGGGAAGGGGGUAAUGACACUUGAUCCUGGUUGCCCAGGUUCAGGUGAGUGGAAGGGAAGUUGUCCAUUGUAUAGUGUGAUAAUUUGAUAUGAAUGUAUACAAUGUGUGAUGAUCAAAUCAGGUGGCUAAUACUUCUAUUUCCUACAUUUUAAAAAUUUUGGACUAACACAUAGUACAGUAAUUGUACAUAUUGAUGAAGUACAGUAGGAUAUUUCAGUGCAUGUGUUCAAUAUGUAUUAAUGAAAUUUGGGUAAUUAAUGUUUCUACCAGGUUAAUUAAUGUAUCAUUACUUUGUGUAUUUUGAAGGUUCUUCUAGUUAUUAAAAAAAUAUGUAAAGACUACUAUAGAAUACUAGAACUUAAUACUUCUAUCUAACUAUAUUUUGGUGU